CUGUACACAAAGGUUUCAAUUUCUCUAUAUCCUUACCAACACUUAUUUUUUGUUUCUUGUUAAUAGCCAUCCUAAUGAAUGUGAAGUCCAUUUACCUUUUAAAACUUUAGAAUUUCCUACUAUUUGUACAAAUACUACAAAAUAAAGAGAUUAACUCUUUUAUUAUCUCCCACUAAUCUCUUCCAGCUUGUUCACAUUUUUAUUUAUGUAUUUUAUUUACAGAGCAAUGUUAAUCUGGUUACUUGUCUUCCGUUUCUGACACAUUUUCUUUUUCUCUUCAGUGUGUUGCUAUAAGAAACAUGUUGAAAGGGUGAUUUCUAUUGUUUAUACCUGAUAAAGGUCUUUGGCCUUUUUUUUCUUCUGGGAGUGCUGAUGUAUUAAGGAGUGUGAUAGGUCAACUUUUGGGACAACUCUUCUUAAAGGAGGAACUCAUUUUACAUAGCUGUGAUCUUGAACAGGUAUGUGUGAAUUCUGUUGUGUGAACUGAAUCAUAUUGGGUGAACUAGGAAAUAAAAGGAAUUCGAGAUGACUCUUCCUCUGGGUAAGCAAUAGUCCCUAAUUAAUGUUUUAUUUGCUUAGGACAGGAUACAACUCUAGGUAAAAUGUAUCUAUCACACCCUAGUUACGCCUGUUCCUUCCCUCUUGACAACCACAUACUUUCUCUUAACCGCAGGUUAAUUUUCAGCGAAUCAAGAAUUAACGAAAGGCCACAUACGUGGGAAUGAGACUUCAUAAACAGAAUGUUUGAAGUCCCCAAUUAACCUCUUGCACAUACUUAUAUUGAGUGCUGAGUUUUAACUCCUUGUGGUCUUGCGGGAGGCAGAAUUCUAAAAAGACCCACCAUCACCCAUGCCUUUGUGUAAUCCCCAUCUCUUGAGGGUGAGUGGGACCUGUAACUCACUACUAACCAAUGGAAUAUGGCAAAGGAGAAGGUAUGCUGCAGAUGUAAUUAAAGUCCCUAAUCAGUUAAUUUUAUAUUAAUUCAAAAGGGGAGAUUAUCCUGGGUGGGCCUCACCUAAUUAGGUGAGACCAUUAAGAAAGCAUCUGGGGUCAGAGACUCUCACUGUUGCUGGAUUGAAGAAGGAAGCUGCCAUGAAUCCUACAGCGGCAAGGCAUGAAUUCUGCCCACAACCUAAGGGAGCCUGGAAGUGCGUCCUUCCCUAGCUGAGCCUCUAGGUGAGAAUGCCGUCCAGCUGGCACCUUGAUUUCAGCCUGCGAGAUGCUGAGCAAAAGACCCAGCUUAACCUAGUCAAGCUGUGCCUGGAUUCCUGACCCACACAAACAGUAAUUCAAGAAUUGUAUGUUGUUUUAAGCUGCUAAAUUUGUGGUAAUUUGUGUUGCAGCAACAGAAAACUACUACACAUCUCGAGGCAGUAAAACCAUCCAAGAAAAGGUGGCAAGUGUAAUAAACGUGACAUAGUAGGCCCACCCUUAUCAAGGGCAGGCAGUGGGGCAAAGCUGGGAGCAAGUAGGUGUCCUUUCAUUCUCCCAGCUUUCUGAGCAGAGAAACAGGAACUCAGCAUGUCUCUUUGCAGUUUCUGUAGUCUCUUAUGCAGUAAAUCCACAAGCCUGGGAAGUCUUUUCUCUAUAGAUUCAGUUCUCAACACAAAGGAACACCCUUUUCUGAUCCUCUUCGUCAUAAGACACGAGCACCAGUACUGAUCCAUAAUGUAAGGCUAUCACUGCUUCCUGAAUGCCAUCUGGUUACGUAACAGCUGGUUACCAUAACAGAACUUGCCUUCUCAAUAAACUGAGCAGCUCCUCCAGAAAAUGUUUCACGGGGAUGGAGAUAGUAUAUAUCGUGGAGGGGGAAACUGUGCAGAAAGAUUAAAUAGUUUUCCCAAGGUCAAAGCUGAGUCACUGGCCAAAUCAAGAACAGGACCUGAACCUUGGGUUCUUAGGGGAAGUCCAACAUUAAAUCGAAAGCAGAGAGACUGAUGCUUGUCGGCUCUGUUUUUUCACUUUUGGAAGUGUGAGCGUCAAUUUCAUCCCAACCCUGUCUACGAACUGCUAGUCCUCAACAUCCUACCAGAUUACAUACAUUUUGAGGACAGGGAUUGGCAAAGAAAACUUCAAAUAUUUUUUAAAUGAAUGACAAUCAUAGCAUGCAACAGCUCUGGGGAAAAUGGUCCAGGUUGGAUCAGUCCAGAAAACUCUGGGAGAUACCAGGGGAUUUUUAGGUGGUCAAACCAUCUGGUUCUCUCUGAGGCUCACCAGGAAGCAGAGAUGCUCAGAGGGAUAUGCUGGAGGGCAUCAGCAUCACCCAAGGAGCUGGUUUACGAUGGAGAGUUUCGGCGGCACCCCCUGAAAUUCCAGUUCAGAAGUUUGGGGUGAGCCUAGGAAUCUGCAUUUUAACCAUCACUCCAGGUGAGUCUGUUGUAGGUGGCCUCCACUAUUGGAGAGACAUCAAGUGGACUAGAAACCUACUAGAUAUCUACACUGGCUAUCUGCACCAGCGUUUUGUGUGCUUGCAAACAUUUCAAAACUCCUUAUAAACAAGACAGCAUUGCUAAUGAGGAAAUUGAGGAAUAGCGUGGUUACAUAACUUGCCCAAUAUUUACCAUCAACUUGCUGUAAGAGCCAAGAACAGGAAAAAAAAAAAAAAGCAAAACAAAACACAAUCCUCUGAGGCUUUCACACCCCCUCUCCCGCCCCAUUCCAUGUCCUAAGACAACUCCAGCAGAAAAUAACAGGAGGGCCCUUGGACUGUGUUGAUAUUGGCAGCAAAAGCACAUCCAGUUAUUCAGUCUCAAUAAAAGAACAUUUUUUGAAUCUUUCAAAGCCAGCCACACUAAGGCUAUAACGAGUUUACCUCAUUUAAAUCUAUGCAGCAGAACCACUCAAGGAAGGCAGGCCUAAACCCAUCCUUGGGAAAUCAAGCUGGCGUCAAUAUAAACAAGAUUUAAAAGCCCUCCAGACAUCUGGUCUGACUUAAUAGAUCUCUUGGUGUUUUCUGGACUCUUUAAAUGUUAACCAGGAGGUCACAUGCUUACCUUCUCUUCUUUCCUAUAGAUAGACAAGUCAUUUAUCCAAAUCAAAUAAGCCAGAAGUAUCACAGUUAUAUCUCAAUUUUCAUAAAUCGAUUAAUUGAUUAAUGUAUUUCUGUGUGUGUAUUUAUUUAUUAAUUUAUUCCCCAUUUUCCCAGAAGUGAUUUUUGGUAGCUUAUAAGGACUCAAAAUAUAAGACAAAGAAGAAAUUACAAACAGGAUCUUAAAUUAAGCUGAGAGAGAUGGAGAAAACCAUGGGCCUCAUUUUGCCUUAACAGAUGUAGUCCUAGAAAGAAAAUGUAUUUGGAUCUAAUAAAUUUUUGUUAUUUGCAUUAUAAUUUAGAAAGUGUUUUAUCAAUACUUUCUCUUUUUUUCAAUUGGCAGUGGUGCCUAAUCCUUCAGACUUCGGUUUCCUUACUCCUAUUCCCACCUCUGCAUCAAGUAAUUAAUAAAUCAAAAGCAAAUACUUAAAUGCAUUCUGGAAGAUUCCUAAGAGACCUUGGAACAUAUCACUUUUUAAUGUCAAGAUUUCUUUGGAAAUUCUCGUUAGGUCACCUUGAUUAAAAUGCACCUGGACCUAUAAAGACAGUGUGGAACAUCACCACAGUGGGAAUUCCUGCAUCAAGGGAUAACUAGCAGAAAAAACUCUUCAAAAUAUGCAUUAUAAGCGGUAACUUCUUCCCCCAUGGAUGGCCCUGGGAAAAGAUGAAGAGCACAUGCUUUUUAAAGGAAUCUAGAACCUGCCUUAGGUCAUCAUGAAGAAAGGAAGAAACAACAACACCUGUUGCCCAACUGCGUGUCUGCAACGAUGCUGAAGAGCACCACCGUUUAUAAUGAGUCAGCAUGUGAACUUCCGGGAGCUCUCAGGGGGAAGUAGAAAAGAGAAUCCAAGCCGACCCCUGAAUUUCUUCAACAACCUGUCAGUGCUACUUCUUGCUCAACCAAACCUAACACUGUUACGCGCCACAUAACAACCUUUUGGUCAACCAUGGACCACAUAUACAAUGGUGGUCCCAUAAGAAUUACCAACCUACAAGGCAGAGGAGGAAACGGAGACUCAGAAACAUUAAGUAACUUCUCCGAGGACCCCUGCGAGUAAGUGGCAGAACUGGGACACAGCCCAGCCUCUCUGAGGCCGAGCUCCCCGUCUAUACCAAGAUGCCUUUCUCUGCUCCCCAGGUUUGGUGAAAACAGCAGUGAUUAAAUGUGAACAAGUGACGUAUCUGCUUAUCGUUACAGUUUAUUCCAUCUACUUCAGGGGCUUUACAAAAACAGAUUUCGAGAGAAAGGUAACAUAGUUAUUCUGCCCUUUCCUGUCUCCUUGAUGCAAAUCCCUAGGUUUCUCAGAAAAGUGAAAGGCCUUACUCAGACAGUGUAAAUCUGCUUUGAGAUACAAACGUGUGUUUAAGGGGAAAAAGAACAUGAUUCAGGCCUAAACAAAAUAAAUUAGUUCUUUAAAUAAUGGAAUUACAGUCUCCCAAAUUUGGAACAUCAGUUGCGCCGGGUAACACUGUUACCUGAGCUUGCACUUGCCAUUGUUCUCAGCAUCCUUUUUCUCAUGUGUUGAUUCUUACAACAUAAUUCUUAAGAACUAGUGCCUUGCAGUUGGCAAGAAGAAAGCCUUGAUAACAGGUUUUUAAAAGUCAUUUGUACUUAGAGAAAUUUAGGAUGACAUCUUGGGGCACCUAACAUCACUCGGGAAGAUCAUUUAACCUCUUCAAAUUACAGUUUUAUUAUUAAUAAAGUAAGAGGCAGCCUGAGGUCCUUUUUACCUCAAAAAUUCCAUAUUAUUACGCCUGAUCAGAUAAAGGAGUUCUAAAACUAACUCGUCUCCAUUCCUCUUUUGCUCAUUUGCUCCCUCCUUUUCUUUUGCUUCAGCUCCAGUUAUCUCCAUUCAACCCCAAACAC